rnacentral:rRNA from 1 species
GACGAACGCUGGCGGCGUGCCUAACACAUGCAAGUCGAACGGGGAUAUGAUUUCGGUUGUAUCCCAGUGGCGAACGGGUGAGUAACGCGUGAGCAACCUGUCCUUUUGAGGGGGAUAACACUUGGAAACAGGUGCUAAUACCGCAUAAGACCACGGGUCCGCAUGGACCAGAGGUCAAAGGAGCAAUCCGCAGAAGGAGGGGCUCGCGUCCCAUUAGGUAGAUGGCGGGGUAACGGCCCACCAUGCCAACGAUGGGUAGCCGAGCUGAGAGGCUGAUCGGCCACACUGGAACUGAGACACGGUCCAGACUCCUACGGGAGGCAGCAGUGGGGAAUAUUGGGCAAUGGGCGAAAGCCUGACCCAGCAACGCCGCGUGAGGGAAGAAGGCCUUCGGGUUGUAAACCUCUGUCCUUGGUGACGAAAAAUAGACGGUAGCCAAGGAGGAAGACCCGGCUAACUACGUGCCAGCAGCCGCGGUAAACAUAACUCGUA